AAGCGUGUAGCUCAACUGGCUAGAGCGACUUGUUCACUUUAUGCGAUAGUGAAUAAUGUAUUUUGCAGGUUCGAAUCCUGCCACGCUUG
rnacentral:tRNA from 2 species